rnacentral:misc_RNA from 1 species
GGUCUGUUAAAGGAGAAAAAGAAAAAUAAUAUAAGUUGUUUACAAGGUGUGUACUAACAGAUUUUGGUUUUUGAGUCUAGUGAAAGAGUAUGUAAUUACAACUAUAGUGAUGGAAAUGAUUAGUGUGCACGCAGCUACUAUAUAUACUAUACAGUAUGAAGGGGUAUAUAUUGUUGUCCAAUACGUACAAUGAUCAAAUGGUGUUGAUUUGUUUAGAAUAUGUACCGGCGAACAUAAUCCACUCGAGUUGGAUGCUUGAGCUUCAUGAGAGCCUUCACUUCAUGCUUCCG